rnacentral:lncRNA from 1 species
UGUGGUUGUCGUUGGUUAGUUAAAAGAUGUGUUAUUGUUCAAAAGAACAAAUGAAUCAGGCACAAGUGUUUAACUUAGUCACGUUUCUCCUACGUCUGUCGUUUGUAGCUGUCUUUCAUUUUAUAUUUUUUUUAUUUAUGUUUGUUAUACUGAUUCAGUCGUUGGUUUUCAAUAUUUCAAUGUUUAACAUGUUGCUGUAUUGGACUGUUUAAAGCUUACCGUAAGUUUUUCAAAUUAUG